AACGAACGCUGGCGGCAUGCCUAACACAUGCAAGUCGAACGAGACCUUCGGGUCUAGUGGCGCACGGGUGCGUAACGCGUGGGAACCUGCCCUUAGGUUCGGAAUAACUCCCCGAAAGGGGUGCUAAUACCGGAUAAUGUCUUCGGACCAAAGAUUUAUCGCCUUUGGAUGGGCCCGCGUUGGAUUAGCUAGUUGGUAGGGUAAAAGCCUACCAAGGCGACGAUCCAUAGCUGGCCUGAGAGGAUGAUCAGCCACACUGGGACUGAGACACGGCCCAGACUCCUACGGGAGGCAGCAGUAGGGAAUAUUGGACAAGGGGCGAAAGCCUGAUCCAGCAAUGCCGCGUGAGUGAUGAAGGCCUUAGGGUUGUAAAGCUCUUUUACCCGGGAUGAUAAUGACAGUACCGGGAGAAUAAGCUCCGGCUAACUCCGUG
rnacentral:rRNA from 1 species